rnacentral:rRNA from 1 species
AUUGAACGCUGGCGGCAGGCCUAACACAUGCAAGUCGAACGAGUGGCGGACGGGUGAGUAAUGUCUGGGAAACUGCCUGAUGGAGGGGGAUAACUACUGGAAACGGUAGCUAAUACCGCAUACCAUCGGAUGUGCCCAGAUGGGAUUCGCUAGUAGUUGGGGUAAAGGCUCACCUAGGCGACGAUCCCUAGCUGGUCUGCGAGGAUGACCAGCAACACGGGAACUGAGACACGGUCCAGACUCGUACGGGAGGCAGCAGGGGGGAAAAUUGCACAAUAGGCGAAAGCCUGAUGCAGCAAUGCCGCGUGUAUGAAGAAGGCCUUCGGGUUGUAAAGUACUUUCAGCGGGGAGGCGUUACCCGCAGAAGAAGCACCGGCUAACUCCGAGCCAGCAGCCGCGGUAACAC